rnacentral:lncRNA from 1 species
GUUCCUUUGUCAUUAUUCCCAAAUUUAAUGCUGUACUUUUCAACAGGACCUGUAUCCUACAGCAAUUUCUGUGAAAAAUCCCCUUAACAAAAUGGCCAGAGAAGAAGAGAAAUGUUACUAUUGGGACUUCAUCAGUUCUUGGCACCUACCUGCUUUCACCAGGUCAUGAACACUCAAGGCUGGAGGAAUUUCUCUGUGUCAGACUGCAGAGGUACACCCCCCCAGAGCCUGAAGAAACGAAUUUCCAGGAGGAAAAAUGGGUGAGGUUUCCUACCACUGUGUGUUGACUCGUGCUUCCUUGGAGAUCAGCCUGCUGGGUAUGGAUGCAUCAUGGACAGAGAGACUUGUUUGCCAUCUUUGGGGCUGGAAGUGGUGGGGAAGGGGCUGCCCUCACCUGUGUGGUGGCACCUCUCAGGUGUCUGUGGGGUGGGCUGGUGCAGUGCUGAGCCGUGCCUGUGGCUCGGUCUGCUCAGCCUGGCUCCAGUGCACAGACUCUGCUGUGUGUCUGGAGAGCUGGGCACCAACCCUCCACACUUGCUCUGCUCUGGCCAGGACCUACCAGCUGUGUCCAGAUGUGAAGUGUUCAUCUGGGCUCAUUUGCUCCAUGUUUGCUCUGUCAUGUCUGUCACACGGGUUGUGUGACACCAGGGAGGGCUCUGUGGUGUGGCACAGCCAGCACGUGUUGGCUCUGUGGCUGCUGCCUUCCUUCACAUCCCUGUGCAAGCUCUGUCCUCUCUUGGCACCUCCCAGAGUGUGCUGGGCCCAGCACUGCUGCUGGCAAAGCAGCCACGCCACAGCAGCACCACGUUGACAUGGGUCUCCCCAAUAAAUGUGUCCCUAUAUUCA